rnacentral:rRNA from 1 species
AUCCGUGCGAUUGAGAUGCCGAGGAUGUUGAGUCCAGCAAUCUGCAUGACAUUGAUCAAGCUGACAUUGGAUCCAACCUUGUUGGUCACCCUAGGCCUGUCCAGAGCAGCUGCCUUGAAGAAGUCAUCGGCGUUGACUUCCAUCGGAUUCUUGCAAACAAACCCAUUGACACGCACUGGGUGCAUAGAGGAGAGGUAA